rnacentral:rRNA from 1 species
GGCCUCUUGGUUAUCAUGGGAGGUCGUGCCUUCCCGGUGAGCUCUCGAGCUUAAACGGACGCGGUAAAUCGUGCAAAGGUAGCUAAAUUACGGCCUAUUAAUUGUAGGUCCUGUGAAUGGUUUGACGAGCCUCCGACUGUCUCUAUCCUGUUUUGGUGAACUUGAAUUGGAUGUGCAAAUGCCUCCCUGAAAAAGAAAGACGAGAAGACCCCGUGAAGCUAGAAAUUUGAGUUACAAGCGUUAGACUUUCGGGCCUAAAGGCCGGUUUAAGGGGGUGUGGUUUCAUCUCAAGGUUAGUGAGUUAGUGUAGCAAUAGUUUUGGCUGGGGCAGCAAAAGAGCAAGGCAAGACUCUUUUAGGUUUUAGGCGGGUGCGUUACGAUCCACAGGCUUAUUUAGCGGUGUGAUAAGCAGAAAAAGUUACUCCGGGGAUAACAGCGUUAUCCGUCCCGAUAGUUCUUAUAGAUGGGCGGGUUUGCGACCUCGAUGUUGGCUCUGGGUAUCCUUAGGCUUGCAGGCGGUCUUUAGGGUUGGUUCGUUCGCCCAUUAAAACCCG